rnacentral:ribozyme from 1 species
UGCCCAGCAACUCCUAUCCCUACCUCCUCCGGCCGGAGUACGAGUACCUUGGGGAAGAUCGGGUAACCAACCCCCGGUGGGAACUUUGUUCGUAUGCUGACAGGGAAGG